GAAAUGCGAUAAUUAAUGUGAAUUUCAGAAUUCAGUGAAUCAUCGAGUCUUUGAACGCACAUUGCGCCCCCUGGUAUUCCGGGGGGCAUGCCUGUCCGAGCGUCAUUGCUGCCCUCAAGCACGGCUUGUGUGUUGGGCUUCCGUCCCUGGCAACGGGGACGGGCCCAAAAGGCAGUGGCGGCACCAUGUCUGGUCCUCGAGCGUAUGGGGCUUUGUCACCCGCUCCCGUAGGUCCAGCUGGCAGCUAGCCUCGCAACCAAUCUUUUUAACCAGGUUGACCUCGGAUCAGGUAGGGAUACCCGCUGAACUUAAGC
rnacentral:misc_RNA from 1 species